rnacentral:lncRNA from 10 species
AGUCAAUUGCUACUUCAGACCCUUGGUUUCUGGAGAGAACCUGACUCAUUCUCACUCUGCUUUAAUCAUCCUCUGAAAGUGGGCUGUGGGCCUGGAGCAAGGGCCCUGAAGACUCUUCCUGGGUGUCUGUCAAUGCAAGGAGUGGGCCUUGGCAUUUGUUGUAACGAACUGAAAAAUGACCACAAAUCACCAUCUUCCGUGUUGAUGGGGACUAUUUGUUUAACGGCAUUGCUUAGGCCAUUAAAAGACCCCUCGGGAAUCAGGAAGGGGUGAAGAUUUGAAACAUUUUCAUCCUUGGUUCAAGACAAUAGAAUUUGAAGAUGCCUUUACCCCACUGAUGUGGAUAUCAAGAGUAUCCAGGGUGAGAGGUCACAGAGUCAUCCGCCUGACUGCGUCUGCAUGAGCAAAGAUAGACAGGAUGAGACUGAAAAUUCUUCGCUUCAUUCAUUUCUGUAUUUCUGGGCCAUGCCCUCUAACAAUUGCAAAGAUGAACUGCAGCGAAUUGGAAUGACCUAACAUUUCUGUGACAUCUGAUUCUGUUGUACCUGAACAUCCCAGAGACCACACCGCUCAAGGGAAAUGUAUAUUUGAAAAAUAUCUUGUGAAUGUCUCUAAGCCAGAAAAUAAAAAUGGACUUUUCAGAGCUAGCAGAGAUCCACUUUCGAGCCUGAUGCAGCCUCUCUGGUGAUUUAUAAUGCAUUGACAGUAUUCCCCAGAUAAUUCUUAGAGCCCUCCAUUACCACCCAAUGAAUAGAGGCCAUCUCACUGGGGUGUCAGCGAGGUUGAAAUUUGCUAAGAAUUUACUAGCCCAGAGAAAUGCAUGAGAGAGAAGUGCCAGAUGAUACAUCUGGAAGAGACCACUGCUGAUUCUACAGAUGCAAAAUCCCAUGCAGUCAGGGUAGUGACUUACCUGGGACCACACAGCUAACCAUGGCAAUGGAGGACUAGCGUUCAGGUCUCUGAACACCCAGCUUUGUGUUUAAAGACUGCACUGACCACUAGGAAUAACAGGUCUGGUUAAUGCACCAUUGGCCAUUCUGACAAUGCUUUACUAACUGCCUGAGAUAGACCAAGACUUCCUUCAGCAGUCAGGAAGUCAGAAGAGCAAGGAAGCAAUUUGGCUCUACAGGGUGGAGACAAAAUGCCUUUUCAAUAGGUUGCUAAGUUCUCCAUUUAACAAGAGCCAAAGAAAAAGUUCAUACCAAAAACACCUUAUAAACAAAAUUCAUCCUUUAUACAGACAUCUGCUCUUCUUCAGGGGGGCUGCGGGCCAUUAGGGCCAUGUGCUUGUCACGACGCUUGCAGCAGAUGUUUGCUAAUACUUUAAGAUCUCCCUGUGAUGUGGUUAUUGUUUAAUUCUCCUGUAAGGAGAGUUUUGCUCAAAUUAAACAGGAAGGCUUAAAUGCGAACUAGGGUGCAAUGUCCUGCUGUGCAUUUGUUACAGUGGCACAUCAAAGCUCUAAGAAAGGGGCUUGGGGUUUUCUUCAAGUUCACCAGAGGCCCCAAAGCACUAUGCCAUGGUGAGUGAGAGAAGCUGUGUCUCAUUUUCGUAUGCAUUUAUGUUCAACUACAUUGCAGGGUUGUUCUGUUAGCCCUAUUGUGCCUUUUGUUUAAAAGGCCAGACUGCUUUGAAGUGAGCUGGCAGAGCAUGAUGACAGAGGGCCACUCAGGCAGGGCCCAUGGCCAGAGCCUGGAAAGGCAGUAGGAAAAGCUGUAUUCUUCAUGCCUGACCAGGUCUCUGCACUUCACAUGAGCAAAUGGAAUCACUUUAAGAAAGGACUAUUAGAAAGCCAAAUGUGAGAUGAAAAAUGACUGUCCAUUGUGACCCAUGUGUGCUGAGACUGAGAGAGGAAUCAAUGGUGAGAUCAAUAAAUAUUUUAUCAAGCACCUCCCUUGGUCAAGAAGCAAAAGACUGGGCAAUGUUUGCUCUCCUGGGGGGAUUACAAUUUUAAAUCCACUCUCUUACCACCUAGGAGCUAGACAGAACAUAAACAUGUUAGAAAUUAAAGCGUGAAGGUUGAAAAAAUAUUUCAAGAAGAGAACAGAAGAGGGAGAGUGAUUCACUAAAUGAACAGUCUGUAUUUGCCAUGGGUCCAGGGAGAAAGAGUCUGGUCUGGCCGGGUAAAGCUUUCCUGGAGAGGAGAAGCUUCUCUAGUGGGAAGCAGUUGGUUUGGACUUUACUGGAUGGUAUUAGUUUCUGUGUCACAUCCAUGUUUAUGAAAAAGUAAAGCCUUAUUACUCUUCGUAAGGAGUUAAGAGCCACCUGACUGCCACAGACAUUAAUUCCUUUGUGAUGGGAUCCAGUGCAAAUGAAAGCACAUGAUUAAUGAUGGGAUGGUCUUAUUCUUAGGUGGCAGCAAGGCUCACAAUUUUUCACAUUCACAUACGUGACUGCAUGGAUUUUCUAACUAAUAAUUUGCCACCCACAGCAACACCUAGACAAUGGAUCUCCACUCACUCUCCCUUGUCACUCAGAAAAAAAUCCACAUGAUUCUCAGGUUUAAAUCCCAUCAAGGUUAUGAUUCAGGUUCUCUUGGCUCCAGGCCUGAUCCUCCUCUUUCCCUUCCAAAUAAUUAUCCAGGUUCACAAAAAUGGACAUUUGUGGAGCUCUUGCCUUUUUCUGUCUUGGAAGAACCAGCAAGAAUCUACCCUUUCCCAAACUUCCAUUCACUCAUUUAUUAUUUUUUUUUAUUGAGCACUAGCUAUGUGUCAAGCACUGUACUAGGCACAGUAGAUUCCAUAAUAAAAACAUUGGAACAUAGUGAAGUGAAGGGAUAGAGGUAAGCAAAGAGGUUAUGAUGAUACUGUCUGUGAUGUGCAGUGAUAAAGGGAGGACACAGCAGGGGGCUCUGGUUCCUGACUUGGGGUGUAAAGAAGGUAUCCGUAUUAGUCUGUUUUCAUGCUGCUGAUAAAGACAUACCAGAGACAGGGCAAUUUACAAAAGAAAGUGGUUUAAUUGGACUUAACAGUUCCACGUGGCUAGGGAAGCCUCACAAUCGUGGUGGAAGGCAAGGAGGAGCAAGUCACGCCUUACAUGGAUGGCAGCAGGCAGAGAGAGAGAGCGUGUGCAGGGGAACUCCUCUUUUUAAAACCAUCGGAUCUCAUGAGACUUAUUUACUCUCAUGAGAACAGCAGGGGAAAGACUUGCCCUCAUGAUUCAAUUACCUCCCACUAGGUCCCUCCCUCAACACAUGGGAAUUCAAGAUGAGAUUUGGGUGGGGACACAGCCAAACCAUAUCAGUAUCCCAGGAGGUGAUGUCAAAGCUGAACCUGAGUGAGCAGAGCAGGAGGUGGUCAGGCAAAGUUGGACGGAGCAGAGGGCAUUCCGACUACCCAGGCUUGCAUAGGAAACACCUGGAGGCAUGGUGGUCCUGUUGUAAAAGCCCAAAUGCUGUUUCAGAGGAUGGAGCCAAAAAUGAGGCCAUGGAGAAGAGCAGGGGUCAGUUGCUGAAGGCCGUAUAAGAAUGUCAAGAGUUUUGGCUCUCAUGAGGGGACCAGGGCACUAACAGAGAGUUAGAAGUGCCGCAUUGCAACAAGCUCAGAGUGACUUGCCAUUUAACACUCACUGGGCACAUUAAUCUCUCUCAGCAUUUUAAAGAAAUGACUGCAUCCCAGUGAAGUGUUAGCUGACUCACAGAGGAGCAAAGGUUUUCUCAUUUUACAGGUGAGGAAACUUGAGAUACAUGGAGGUGCCAAGGCUCAUGGAGUUCGUACAGGAACCAAGAGUAGAAGGUGAACAAUCAGCAAAGUUUGUGACAGGAGAGGGGAAAUGUGAUAAGGGCAAAAUUAAUGUACCGUCCAAGCUGAACUAAGCUAAUGCACAGCAUAAAUUCUUUGAAUGAUUUUUUUAAACCAAACUCUUUGCUUGAAACUUAAUCAGGAAUUUACUGCGGGACAUUGAAGGUCAAGGUUUUAGAGUGCCACUACAAAUAGCUCUUAUCCUGAGUCCUAGUAAUACAGCCAGACUAGGCAGUGUGUCAAAACCAAGAGCUCCCUUUGCUAUGUAGAAAUGCAGAAGGGAGAGCCCAGCAUCACUUGAAACCAGAGGCAGAUAGACAGUGGUCUUUCCCCUUGAGUGUACAAAGAGGUAAUAACAGGAUCCACCUCCUCACAUGAGGACAUGUGAGUUAAUACAUGUUGUAGUGUAUUGAGCAGAACCUGGCAUAUGAUAAGUGCUUGAUUUGUUAGCUGUUCUUUCCUGUGUGUUCCCUUAAAGAUACAGGUAUACAGUUUGAGAAACAUGGUGGUACAGGAGUCUUCUAAAAGCACACAGCUUUUCUGUCAUCUAGCAGUGCUAUAAUUGUGUAGUUAGGCAAAUGGAAUCAAGCUUGACAAGGAAGACGCUGUACCAAGUGUCCCUCAAUACCCAGCACUUCUUCAUCCCAACAGCAUUCACCAUGCACCUCCCAAACAUUCACUGGUGUUAAUGUGGAAGUGCAGAGCAUUGGCUUCUGGUGUGGAUCAUCAGAAACAGGUGGCCAAAUAAAAAUGGACAGAAUCUGUCCCAUGUGAAGAGGGAGUAAGCUGAAAGUGUGGUGUCCGGAAAUUAUUGUAAAUUUUAUUGCAUUUGUAAUUUCAUGUUAUAUGUGAUUUAAUUAAACAUAUAAUAUCUAAUAAAAGUCCCUGGGAAUCCAGAUAUCUGAGUUACACGUAAAAAGAAGGAAGAAAAUAUAUUUUUUUACUUAAAAAGCCACCCUUUUCAGUGACUUAUGUCAGAUUAUUAUUAUUAUUAUUAUUAUUAUUGAGACAGAAUGUCGCUCUGUUGCCCAGGCUGGAGUGCAGUGGUGCAAUCUUGAUUCACUGUAACCUCCGCCUCCCAGGUUCAAGCGAUUCUUGUGCCUCAGCUUCCUGAGUAGCUGAGAUUACAGGUGCACUCCACGUGCCUGGCUAAUUUUUGUAUUUUUAGUAGAGACAGGGUUUCACCAUGUUGGCCAGGCUGGUCUCGAACCCCUGACCUCAAGUGAUCCACCCACCUUAGCCUCCCAAAGUGCUGAGACUACAGGUGUCAGCUUCUGCGCCUGACCAACUUAUGUCAGUUUAACAGGUCCAUGCUGUCUGCCCUUCAUUUUCUGACUAAUCCUUUGUAGCAAUCUCUGAACCAUCAAUUCAAUGAGGCAUUAAGAAAUAAGAGACUUCACCAUUUUGUAGAAGCCUUUGGCAUUUAGAUGGGCUCUCCAGGGUGUAACUCACACAAAAACAACACAGAUUAAUAUGAAACAUGUUAUAAAUGGAAACAAACAAACAUACACACAAAUGUAUAUACCAGAUGACAUUCCAGAAUAGGCAAAAUGAAACUAUUUUGGUAAAAAUCAGAAGAGGGGCUGUUUGGGGUGUGUGUGGACGAGGGAUUGUCUAAGAAGGGGUACAAGGAAACAUUCCUGGGUGAUAAAAAUGCUGUAUUGAUAUGCAUUUGUCAAAACGAAUUGAGGGGUAGGUAUCCUUUAUUUUAAAAAGUGGCUAUCUCAGUAGGGUUGCUAUGUGGAUCAGCUGAGAUAAUGCCUGUAAUGCGUUAAGCAUACAGCCUGAUGCAUAAUAAACGCAUUUUCCCAAGCAAUAUUAGAAGCAUCUGGUUCCAAAAUAGAAACCAUAAUAAGCUAAAGAGAAACAGGUAUUGUAAAAGUUAUCUAUCUGUUUAAAACUUCUCCUGAAAUCCCAAAGAGUAGAGUUAUUAUGAAAGCAACUGGGCGGAGAAAAAAGAGCUUCAAAGGAAAUGAAUUAAGGGGAGCAGGAAGAAGGAAAAUAGCCUCUCUCAAAGAGAUAGGAAGAAAGGGAAGAUUAAUUUUCUUUCUAACUUAAAAUUGUCUUUUGUUUGUAUAAUUAAACUACUGCUUAUUUGUAAAACCUAGUAGAUAGGCAAAAUGUGCAUGUUCUAAGUUUGCAAUUUAACAAAACAUGUUUUAAAUAAAGCAAGAAAAGCAUUAAUUAUAAGUUGUUGUUUUUAAUUGCAGGAGGAGACCAUGAGGUAAUUUAGUAAAGUGUUUCAGUCUUCUAAAAAGGGCUCAAGGCUUAAAUUCAUGAGUAGAUUAAAAGUAAUUUAUAACCAUAUAAACCUACACAGAUGCCUAGAUACUCUUGAACCCAGAGACCACUGGAACAAUUCAAACCUUCUGGCACAGAGGAGAACUAAGUUAGCCUUUAUAAUGUGGAAAGGAAACUUGAGAAUGUUUGCCUCACCCAAAAAGAAGUGAGAUUAGAGCAAAAGUGCAAAUUUCUGCCAUAUUCCUUGGUGUAAAAGUGGUUUUGAAAUGUAAUUUGAAAUAAACUCAUGGAGCUCUUUAUUUCUAAACCCUGUGCAACGUCUGCCUAUGUCCCUUCUUCCUACUUUUGUUUUCUUUAGUUUUUGCAGGAAGAUUUACACAAAUGGGCUCCCCAAGGUAUACCCAAGACUAGUCCUGGCUCUGAACCAACUAUGGGUUGGUAUUAAUUUAUUGUCUUGCCAACUAGUCCUGGGACAAAGGGUGUCAUCAUAGGCACAUAAGGUGUUCCCUAACCCAUCCAGGCAUGGAUUGCAUGCAAAGGCGGAGCCUCUGCAAAGCAGAGUGACAGUAGCAGGCAGCAGGCAGACCAGCCACACACAGCCGCCAUCAAUUGUAAAUGAGAUGGUGCUCCUUGUGUCAAAUAUCUGAUGGGUACACUGCUGAGCUGUAAACUUGACUUGUUCUACAAGUGGGAACUCUGUGACAAAGAUGAGUCAUUCCACUUACACAAAAUAUAAUGGUUUGUAGACCCUGCGUCUGUCUUUCCUGGCCUGUCCUGGUAGUGGACUUGCUAAAAUGACUAUUUGUUGGCCCUUGAUGGUUAGACACAGAGGAGGUGGUGGUGAAAUGUUCUUUAGGCGAGAAUGGCAGUUGGAACUGUUGUGAUGGAACUGGAUUCCCUGAAUUCACUGAGGAUGAUGGGAUCCUGGUGGAUCAGUGAAUCAAGCUGAAGCUCUGAAUCUCAGACGAGGACAGGUGGUGAUGGGGAGCAGAGCCCAAGCAGCCACCAGAGUAGUCUAACCUGUAGUGUCUUUGGUGUUGAUCGUGGUGUCCUUGAAACUGAAGUAGUUGAGCAGCUUACUGAAAUCUUCACCUGUAUAGGCAAGAAAGCUUUACAUCUGGGGAAUAGAAGUCUAAAUUGGGUCACCAUGAUAGACUGUUGCAACCUCUUGUCUAACUGUCAGACUCGAGUCAAUUCAGGGCCUGGACUAGAGUGAGGCAAGAAGGCAUCUGGGGUGCAAAACUUCAGAAGGCGCCCACUCCCAGGGUCAUGCAGGUGCCCACAGGCAGGUGCCAACAGUAAUCAUCUCCUUAAGUUGUGUGCAAGAGUCCCUCUCUUACCUUACCCUAGUCCCAGGCCGAACAGAGCCCCUUGAAUGAAAGAGAGGUCAAGCCUUCUGGAGGAAGUCCUGCUUUAUGGCAGAAAUUUACACUAAAUCUCCCUCCUAGCCUCCUUCAAAAGAACCUAGGGCCAUUUACAAGAGUGACUAUGUGUUGAGGAAGGGUAAAUAAUCAAACUUUUCAGGGAAUACUGAACACGGGCUCUAAAUGGAAAUUAAUUUCUGGAGCAAAAACAUUACUCGUAAGAAGAGGGGCUUGUGAAGGUCAGGUGAUCAAUUACAAUUCUAUGUAAGUCCAUUUCAUCAUAGACUUGGUCAGACCCAUCCUUUGGUGAUUUCCCCAGUUCAGACUGCAAAACUGGGAUACAUAUACUCUGCAACUGGCAAAACCCUGACAUGGGUUCCGUGACCUGUGAAGUGGAGAUGCUAUGGUAGGAAAGACCAAAAGACAGCCACUAAAGCUGCCUCUACUUAGCAAGUAGUCAACUAACAGCAAAGCUACAUUUCUGGAGGAAUUUUAAGAUUCAUGCCACCUAAUCAGGGACUUGAAAGAUGGAAGAUAGUGAUUCCUACCAUGUUCCAUUCCACUCCCCUAUUUGACCUAUACAGAAAACAGGUGAAUCUGUGAGAACGACAGUGAUUAUUGCAAAUCUCAUUAUACUAUGACUUCAAGUGCAGGUAUUAUUCCAAAUGUAGUUUUAUUGCCAUAUCAAAUCAAUACUUCCCUAGCAAGUGUAUACAGGCAUUGAUCUGACAAGUGCUUUUUUCUCUACACCUGUUAUCAAGGACCAUAAAAGCCAUUUUCUUUCAACUAGCAUGGUCAGAAACAUACCUUCACUAUCCUAUCUCACAGCUAUAUCCACUCUCUAGUCCUGUGUCAUAUUUUAGUCCUCAGGGAACUUUAUCAACUUUCCAUUCCACAGGACAACAAGCUGGCCCAUUACAUUGGUAAUAUCAUGCUGAUUUUUCCCGGGUGAACAGAAAGUGAACAGAAAGCAACAACUGUUGGGAAAUAACUUUUUUUUUUCAUAUUUCUACAGGCCUUGCAAACAGAGGAACUGACUGACUUUGUUCUAAACUACAUUUUCAAGGAAGUUUGUAUAGUGACUAGACUUGGAAGAAAGACACAGUGUCUCCCUCCAAAGCAAAAGUUAGGCAUGCAUACUGUACAGUAUAAUAAUAAUGAUGCCUGCUUCUGGAGCAAAGGGCAGAUAUGCUUACUGCCCAUUAUAAAAGACUCAGGUUCCUAAAGCUCAGGGUUUUGUUCCUGUAAUGGAAUCCAAUGUGUGUACAUGUGUCACAUGAUCCUUUUUGUGUUGCUCUGUAGGAAGUGGGGCUUGGGGAACUGGUGCAAGAAAUGCUGAUAUUCUGGUUACCAUUAUUGCUAUGAGGAAUAAAGUCCUUUGUCUCUGAUUCAUUAGUCUCAUGUCUUCUACUGACCUCCAUGAAACUGUGACAAGUAACUUGUUAUCUUACAAGGAGGGUGAAAUCUCAGAAGCUUCAGAAUCCUUGACAGCAGUUACUCCAGAUAUCUCAAUAUGACACAAAAGAUGGG